rnacentral:rRNA from 1 species
UCCGUAGGUGAACCUGCGGAGGGAUCAUUACACAAUAUGAAGGCGGGCUGGAUACCCCCAGCAGUGCGUUGCUUUGCGGCGUGCGCUGUUGGGCCGGCCUUGCUGAAUUAUUCACCCGUGUCUUUUGCGUACUUCUUGUUUCCUUGGUGGGCUCGCCCACCAUAGGACAAACCCAUAAACCUUUUUGUAAUAGCAAUCAGCGUCAGUAACAAUGUAAUAAUUACAACUUUCAACAACGGAUCUCUUGGUUCUGGCAUCGAUGAAGAACGCAGCGAAAUGCGAUACGUAGUGUGAAUUGCAGAAUUCAGUGAAUCAUCGAAUCUUUGAACGCACAUUGCGCCCUUUGGUAUUCCAAAGGGCAUGCCUGUUCGAGCGUCAUUUGUACCCUCAAGCUUUGCUUGGUGUUGGGCGUCUUGUCUCCAGUUCGCUGGAGACUCGCCUUAAAGUCAUUGGCAGCCGGCCUACUGGUUUCGGAGCGCAGCACAAGUCGCGCUCUCUUCCAGCCAAGGUCAGCGUCCAGUAAGCCUUUUUUUCAACUUUUGACCUCGGAUCAGGUAGGGAUACCCGCUGAACUUAAGCAUAUCAAUAAGCGGAGGA